ACAGUUCCAGAAUUUGUUUGAUUGGGAAGAUCCUUUCACUCAAGGGAUUUAAUUAAAGAAAGAACAACGCUCACAGACAGCAAUGCAAAAGAAGUGUCUCUAUUGUUCCAACUGGUGCCAUUGUUUGAUGGGAGAAAGCCCAGGGACAUGAAAAGAAAGAAGUCCACUGCCUUGAUCGUCUGAGCAAGUCAGAAGACACCUGGGGACUAGAUGGUGAAAUAAACACACUCCUUAGUGUUGGUCUCAAUCAGCGAGCGCUGGAAAGGACACCCAGGAGACUAAGAUACUCGGUGGUGCACAUAGAGGUAGCUCCCUACUGCCUCCUUGAUCGUCACGGAAGCACACCAGAAGUUUUGUCUUAGCAGCCCACGCAGAGUGAAGAAUCCUCCAGAAUGAAGAGCGGCAUAAGCCCUCCAAAGAGAACAGAGCUAUCGGCAGCCUGAUGUGUUUUCAAAUUGAAAGCUGGGUAGUGCUUUUUCUUUUUUAGAUAUACACUUUGCUAUAAAAUAAAAUGCCACAAUCAACAGUUGGAUUUCACUGUUAUAACUUGUUCAGUUCCUUUAAAUUAAAUUGUGGUUAAAACCUGAAACAGACAUGCCUUUUUUUUUUAAUAAAAUGAAAGUAAAAGAUUGAUGAGCAGAAGAAAGAAGUGGUGAAUUCCCUGUCCUUCCUACCCAAAGCUGAUGACGGUGACCGAGCAGUUCCAAGAAUUGGAGGAAGUCAGGAUUUUGUCUACUUUCAACUGAUUUCAAAGAAAGAAGUUCCUUUGAGCAAUGACAGUCAUCUUGAAGGUAAAGAAUAAAGAAAAGAAAAGAAAUGCUAGAAAGGUGACUACCU
rnacentral:lncRNA from 1 species